UGCAACAAACUUUUUCUUGCUGUAUAUAAAUAUUCUGCAUAGUAUUAAUAAGCAUAGCUUUCAAGAAAUUGUCACAAAAGGUUUUAUUCUCUUUGCUUGUGACUAUUUUUCAUUGAAGCAUGCGCUUACCUAUGCUGAUUCUUACUAAAAGCAUAGGCUGGGGUAUUUAUUGGCGAAAGGAAAUGUGUAGUGUGGGCUAGACUGUUGGUGGAGGCUGGCUCUUUAGCCCACUUGCUAUACAUGCUGCCAAUGGAUUUAAGACUUGAAAUGUUGAAAGUUGAGUGGAAUUAUUUCCCUCCUAAAACAUUUAUUUACAGUACUCCUCUCUACCCCUAAGGUUUGGCUCUGCCUCAGAGGAGUGAGUCUUUUUUUUCUAUAAAGUUUACAUUGUCUUACUAUUUAUUGAGUGAAUUUCUGGUCAUUGCCUAUGCAAAUAUAAGAAAUCUGGCUUUAAAUAUUAGUCAGUUUCAUGGCUAUGACUAGAUUGUUUUCUUGUAUAACUAAAUACCUGUAUAAAAUGAACUAAUGUUUUCUCUCCCCUCCCUACCCCUUCCUUAUGAACAAUGCUUUAGGUAUAUUGAAAUCUUUAAGAGCAGUAGAGCUGAAGUUAGAACUCACUAUGAUCCACCACGAAAGCUUAUGGCCAUGCAGCGGCCAGGUCCCUAUGACAGACCUGGGGCUGGCAGAGGGUAUAACAGCAUUGGCAGAGGAGCUGGCUUUGAGAGGAUGAGGCGUGGUGCUUAUGGUGGAGGUACGUGAGGAUUCGCAAGGUUUGGCAAGUAGUCUGUUCCUUUGUCUAGGUGUUUUGAUUGAUUGUACUUUGUCUUUCAGGCUAUGGAGGCUAUGACGAUUACAAUGGCUAUAAUGAUGGCUAUGGAUUUGGGUCAGAUAGAUUUGGAAGAGGUAAGGUAAGAAUUGAAUUUCUCAGUUGAAGGAUGCUUACACUCUUGUCCAUCUAGACCUCAAUUACUGUUUUUCAGGAAUGUCUGAUCACAGAUACGGGGAUGGUGGCUCUACUUUCCAGAGCACAACAGGACACUGUGUACACAUGCGUGGAUUACCUUACAGAGCUACUGAGAAUGACAUUUAUAAUUUUUUUUCACCGCUCAAUCCUGUGAGAGUACACAUUGAAAUUGGUCCUGAUGGCAGAGUAACUGGUGAAGCAGAUGUCGAGUUCGCAACUCAUGAAGAUGCUGUGGCAGCUAUGUCAAAAGACAAAGCAAAUAUGCAACACAGAUAUGUAGAACUCUUCUUGAAUUCUACAGCAGGAGCAAGCGGUGGUGCUUACGGUAGCCAAAUGCUAGGAGGCAUGGGUUUGUGUAAAUAUCACUUUAGUGUCUUUUUUUAAGCUAACCUUGUAUGCCUUUUCUCUCAUUUCAGAACACAGAUAUGUAGAACUCUUCUUGAAUUCUACAGCAGGAGCAAGCGGUGGUGCUUAUGGUAGCCAAAUGAUGGGAGGCAUGGGCUUGUGUAAAUAUCGUUAGUUUUUUUAAAAACCAAAACGUUUAUAUCUGUAUAAGUCAAUUAUAAGUUAAGUUAAUCUAUUUAAUAAGUUUAGCAUAACAAACUUAGGCAAAGAAAGCAGUUUCUUGAUAUUUGAAUUUUGUAUCUGGCUUACUUAAAUCCUUGGGAGUUAUGAAGUUCCUUAGGAUAGAUAAUUCAAAUUAGAUUUAAGUACUCUUGGGGGAGGGGACUACGGAGUGAAACUACUUAAAUUUUCUAAGUAUAAAGUUUAAAUCUAAAAUAGCAAAACAGGAUUAAGAUAAAUGUGGGCAUAAUUAGGUGUAUUGACAUCCUUUGAUGUAUCAAACUAAGGGGGAACCCCACUAAAUCCAGUCAAGCAGUUUCAUGAGAUCUUCACAAAAUGCCUCUACUUAUGGAAUCGUUGAUUUUAGUCCUGCUGAUGUGUAUACCGUUAGCACUUUGGUUUAUCAAUAUUUGACUAGCUCAAAUGAUGGAUAGAAGGGUAGCCUGGUUAUAGACAGUAGGCAGGAGGAGGCAGAGGGUUAUAGUAAUGUAAGAUCAAGACUGGAAAAUCAUAGAUAUAGAAUUACAAGCCCGGUACCACCAGGUACCACAUUACAUAAGAAAAAAGGUUCUAAUGUUUUCUUAACUUAACAGCAAACCAGUCCAGUUACGGGGGCCCAGCCAGCCAGCAGCUGAGUGGUGGUUAUGGAGGCGGCUAUGGUGGCCAGAGCAGCAUGAGUGGAUACGACCAAGUUUUACAGGAAAACUCCAGUGAUUUUCAAUCAAACAUUGCAUAGGUAACCAAGGAGCAAUGAACAGCAGCUACUACAGUAGUGGAAGCCGUGCAUCUGUGGGCGUGAACGGAAUGGGAGGGAUGUCUAGCAUGUCCAGUAUGAGUGGUGGAUGGGGAAUGUAAUUGAUCGAUCCUGAUCACUGAUUCUUGGUCAACCUUUUUUUUUUUUUUUUUUUUUUUUUAAAGAAAAAAACUUCAGUUUAACAGUUUCUGCAAUACAAGCUUGUCAUUUAUGCUUACUCUAAGUGGAAAUCAGGAUUGUUAUGAAGACUUAAGGCCCAGUAUUUUUGAAUACAAUACUCAUCUAGGAUGUAACAGUGAAGCUGAGUAAACUGUAACUGUUAAACUUAAGUUCCAGCUUUUCUCAAGUUAGUUAUAGGAUGUACUUAAGCAGUAAGCGUAUUUAGGUAAAAGCAGUUGAAUUAUGUUAAAUGUUGCCCUUUGCCACGUUACAUUGAACACUGUUUGGAUGCAUGUUGAAAGACAUGCUUUUAUUUUUUUGUAAAACAAUAUAGGAGCUGUGUCUACUAUUAAAAGUGAAACAUUUUGGCAUGUUUGUUAAUUCUAGUUUCAUUUAAUAACUUGUAAGGCACGUAAGUUUAAGCUUUUUUUUUUUUUUUUUUUUUUUUUAAAGUUAAUGGGAAAAAUUUGAGACGCAAUACCAAUACUUAGGAUUUUGGUCUUGGUGUUUGUAUGAAAUUCUGAGGCCUUGAUUUAAAUCUUUCAUUGUAUUGUGAUUUCCUUUUAGGUAUAUUGCUAAGUGAAACUUGUCAAAUAAAUCCUCCUUUUAAAAACUGC
rnacentral:sRNA from 1 species